rnacentral:rRNA from 1 species
CAGUAGCCGCGGUAAUACCGAGGGUGCGAGCGUUAAUCGGAUUUACUGGGCGUAAAGCGUGCGUAGGCGGUUAUAUAAGACAGAUGUGAAAUCCCCGGGCUCAACCUGGGAACUGCAUUUGUGACUGUAUAGCUAGAGUACGGCAGAGGGGGAUGGAAUUCCGCGUGUAGCAGUGAAAUGCGUAGAUAUGCGGAGGAACACCGAUGGCGAAGGCAAUCCCCUGGGCCUGUACUGACGCUUAUGCACGAAAGCGUGGGGAGCAAACAGGAUUAGAUACCCCCGUAGUCCCUGUCUCUUAUAU